rnacentral:tRNA from 1 species
UCCCUGGCAGUCCAGUGGUUAGGACUCAGUGCUGUCACCGCUGUGGCCCAGGUUCAACCCCUGGUCUGGGAA